GAUGAAAUGCCUGAAAAAGGAUUAUUUUGAUAGAAUAAACCAUGUAUACUUUAUACUUUCAUUG
rnacentral:tRNA from 1 species